CCCUUAGACGUCCUGGGCCGCACGCGCGCUACACUGAACGGAUCAGCGCGUUUUCCCUUCCCGAGAGGGACGGGUAACCUGCUGAACCCCGUUCGUGGUAGGGAUCGGGGCUUGCAAUUAUUCCCCGUGAACCAGGAAUGCCCAGUAAGUGCAAGUCAUAAGCUUGCGUUGAUUACGUCCCUGCCCUUUGUACACACCGCCCGUCGCUACUACCGAUUGAACGUUUUAGUGAGGUACUCGGACUGAGCCUCAGAAGAUUCACGUCUUUUGUGCUGCUCGGGAAGAUUCCCAAACUUGAGCGUUUAGAGGAAGUAAAAGUCGUAACA
rnacentral:rRNA from 1 species